rnacentral:piRNA from 1 species
UGUGCAUCUAUUGGUUUGGAUCCCUACCGGCC